ACGGGAGGCAGCAGUGGGGAAUAUUGGACAAUGGGGGAAACCCUGAUCCAGCAAUGCCGCGUGUGUGAAGAAGGCCUGCGGGUUGUAAAGCACUUUCGGUGGGGAGGAAAAGCUGGGAGNUAAUACCUUUCAGUGUUGACGUUACCCAAAGAAGAAGCACCGGCUAACUCUGUGCCAGCAGCCGCGGUAAUACAGAGGGUGCAAGCGUUAAUCGGAAUUACUGGGCGUAAAGCGCACGUAGGUGGUUUGGUAAGUCGGAUGUGAAAGCCCCGGGCUCAACCUGGGAAUUGCAUUCGAUACUGCCUGGCUAGAGUAUGGUAGAGGGGGGUAGAAUUCCCGGUGUAGCGGUGAAAUGCGUAGAUAUCGGGAGGAAUACCAGUGGCGAAGGCGGCCCCCUGGACCAAUACUGACACUGAGGUGCGAAAGCGUGGGUAGCAAACAGGAUUAGAUACCCUGGUAGUCCACGCCGUAAACGAUGUCAACUAGA
rnacentral:rRNA from 1 species